CAGCCGCCGCGGUAAUACCGGCGGCCCGAGUGGCGGUCACUAUUAUUGGGCUUAAAGCGUCCGUAGCCGGGUUGGGAAGUCCUCCGGGAAAUCUGGCCGCUUAACGGUCAGAAUGCCGGAGGAUACUCCCAGCCUAGGGGGCGGGAGAGGCCGAGGGGAUUCCCGGGGUAGGGGGGAAAUCCUAUAAUCCCGGGAGGACCACCUGUGGCGAAGGCGCUCGGCUGGAACGCGUCCGACGGUGAGGGACGAAGGCCAGGGGAGCAAACCGGAUUAGAUACCCGGGUAGUCCUGGCUGUAAACGAUGCGGACUUUGUGUCGGACAAGCUAUGAGCUUGUCCGGUGCCGGAGGGAAACCGUUAAGUCCGCCGCCUGGGGAGUACGGCCGCAAGGCUGAAACUUAAAGGAAUUGGCGGG
rnacentral:rRNA from 1 species